ensembl:lncRNA novel transcript
GUUGAGGCUGAGGGAGGUCACUUCGGCUUCGCGACACCGUGAGCGCUUAUCAGGAGUUCUCAGUAGGAAGCGCUUUCCUGCAGCCUCAGGCAGAGACCGUGCGUGCAAGGCGGGACCGACCGCAGGUGCAGAGGCCCCGGGCCUGCCCAAGAUCGAAUUGGUCGCAAAUACGUUCCCUCGCCAGAAACUUUAAAAGGCCAGAAGAAAAUAAACCGGAUUCAGCUCCCUCUCAUCUCCAAAUCUCGGUGACCAGCAUCUCGUAAGAAUGAUAACCAUCAGUAACCGGGACCCCAAACCUUCUCAUCAAGGCACCUCUCGGGUCACCAUUACUUUAACUUUGAAUUUGGGUCUCCUUCAUUUUUCCGCUGGAUGCGUUAAUGUGCGCGACCCACAGCUCCAGGCGGCGGUUUCCUGGCGGAACUGGACCACCGCCACAGGCUGGGGGUCUGCAGUGGGGGAUGGGACCGGCCGCGGCCGC